rnacentral:miRNA from 1 species
UCUGCUUCCCUCCUCCUCUAG